CACGUCAUUCUUUAGUUAAUGUUAAUUUCUUUGUCUUUCUGUUAGUUAAUUCCAAAAGAUGUUUGUGGUACGCCGACAUAUCAUACGUCAAGCUGUUGCUGUCGGCAAUAAAGGUUUCCAAAUGAUAUGGCUCAGCACUGAUGUUUAAAUGACGUCCCACGCCGUUAUAGCGCCGUGCAGUGCCAGAUGCCCGUCGCUGUCACUGAAUAUUGAGCAGUUAAUAAAAUAUUGU